GAUCUUAAAAGGUAUGUCAGACAUAACUUUUAAGAUCGGUUACAAAAGAACGGAUCUUAAAAGUUGUAUCAGACAUCACUUUUAAGAUC
rnacentral:miRNA from 1 species